UACAGAGGUCUCAAGCGUUGUUCGGAUUCAUUGGGCGUAAAGGGUGCGUAGGUGGCGCUGUAAGUCGGGUGUGAAAGUCGGGGGCUCAACCCUCGGAUGCCGGUGGAUACUGUCGGGCUUGAGUACGGAAGAGGCGAGUGGAAUUCCUGGUGUAGCGGUGAAAUGCGCAGAUAUCAGGAGGAACACCAAUUGCGAAGGCAGCUCGCUGGGACGUUACUGACGCUGAGACGCGAAAGCGUGGGGAGCAAACAGG
rnacentral:rRNA from 1 species